AUUGAACGCUGGCGGCAUGCCUUACACAUGCAAGUCGAACGGUAACGGGCCUUCGGGUGCCGACGAGUGGCGAACGGGUGAGUAAUACAACGGAACGUGCCCGAUCGUGGGGGAUAACGAGGCGAAAGCUUUGCUAAUACCGCAUACGAUCUACGGAUGAAAGCAGGGGACCGCAAGGGCUUGCGCGGACGGUGCGGCCGCUGGCAGAUUAGGUAGUUGGUGGGAUAAAAGCUUACCAAGCCGACGAUCUGUAGCUGGUCUGAGAGGAUGAUCAGCCACACUGGGACUGAGACACGGCCCAGACUCCUACGGGAGGCAGCAGUGGGGAAUUUUGGACAAUGGGCGCAAGCCUGAUCCAGCCAUGCCGCGUGCAGGAUGAAGGCCUUCGGGUUGUAAACUGCUUUUGUACGGAACGAAAAGCCUUCUUUUAAUACAGGAGGGUCAUGACGGUACCGUAAGAAUAAGCACCGGCUAACUACGUG
rnacentral:rRNA from 1 species